AUGGGGACGCGUGUGGUCUGAUUGGAGGAGAAGGUGAAGGUGAGCUGAAAGGAGCGGAGGUGCUGAAGGAUCCUGGGAUAUUGACUGGAGCAGAACUCUGCAGCUGGCUGCCUCCUGCAAAAAUAAAUUACUAAAAAUAAAACAUCAAAUGUGA